rnacentral:rRNA from 1 species
GACGUAGGGCGCGAGCGUUGUCCGGAUUUAUUGGGCGUAAAGAGCUCGUAGGCGGCUUGUCGCGUCGAAUGUGAAAUCUCAGGGCUCAACUCUGACAUUGCAUUCGAUACGGGCAGGCUAGAGUUCGGUAGGGGAGACUGGAAUUCCUGGUGUAGCGGUGAAAUGCGCGGAUAUCAGGAGGAACACCGGUGGCGAAGGCGGGUCUCUGGGCCGAUACUGACGCUGAGGAGCGAAAGCGUGGGGAGCGAACAGG